CAGGAACAGAAGGCAGAGCUCAGGAUGACCUUCACCACAGCCUGGUCUUGUCUCCUCCUGUCAUUCCUUGUUCAGUGCACAGGGUCCUGGGCCCAGCUGACUCAGCCGCCCUCACUGUCUGGGACUCCAGGACAGAAGGUCACCAUCUCCUGCAUUGGAAGCAGCACCAAUAUUGGGAAUGGCUAUUAUGCGCACUGGUAUCAGCAGCUCCCAGGAAUGGCUCCCAAACUCCUCAUCUAUAGUAAUAGCAAUAGACCCUCAGGGAUCCCUGAUCGCUUCUCAGGCUCCAGAUCUGGCAGCUCUGCUUCACUGACCAUUGCUGGACUCCAGCCUGAGGAUGAGGCUGACUAUUUCUGUCAGUCUUAUGAUAAAAGCCUCAAUGCUAACACAGUGCUCCAGUCUCAUGGGGAAGUAAGAGAAGAACCCCUUUAG